rnacentral:rRNA from 1 species
GAUGAACGCUGGCGGCGUGCCUAAUACAUGCAAGUCGAGCGAACAGAUGAGAAGCUUGCUUCUCUGAUGUUAGCGGCGGACGGGUGAGUAACACGUGGGUAACCUACCUAUAAGACUGGGAUAACUCCGGGAAACCGGGGCUAAUACCGGAUAAUAUUUUGAACCGCAUGGUUCAAUAGUGAAAGACGGUUUCGGCUGUCACUUAUAGAUGGACCCGCGCCGUAUUAGCUAGUUGGUAAGGUAACGGCUUACCAAGGCGACGAUACGUAGCCGACCUGAGAGGGUGAUCGGCCACACUGGAACUGAGACACGGUCCAGACUCCUACGGGAGGCAGCAGUAGGGAAUCUUCCGCAAUGGGCGAAAGCCUGACGGAGCAACGCCGCGUGAGUGAUGAAGGUCUUCGGAUCGUAAAACUCUGUUGUUAGGGAAGAACAAAUUUGUUAGUAACUGAACAAGUCUUGACGGUACCUAACCAGAAAGCCACGGCUAACUACGUGCCAGCAGCCGCGGUAAUACGUAGGUGGCAAGCGUUAUCCGGAAUUAUUGGGCGUAAAGCGCGCGUAGGCGGUUUCUUAAGUCUGAUGUGAAAGCCCACGGCUCAACCGUGGAGGGUCAUUGGAAACUGGGAAACUUGAGUGCAGAAGAGGAGAGUGGAAUUCCAUGUGUAGCGGUGAAAUGCGCAGAGAUAUGGAGGAACACCAGUGGCGAAGGCGGCUCUCUGGUCUGUAACUGACGCUGAUGUGCGAAGGCGUGGGGAUCAAACAGGAUUAGAUACCCUGGUAGUCCACGCCGCAAACGAUGAGUGCUAAGUGUUAGGGGGUUUCCGCCCCUUAGUGCUGCAGCUAACGCAUUAAGCACUCCGCCUGGGGAGUACGACCGCAAGGUUGAAACUCAAAGGAAUUGACGGGGACCCGCACAAGCGGUGGAGCAUGUGGUUUAAUUCGAAGCAACGCGAAGAACCUUACCAAAUCUUGACAUCCUUUGACCGCUCUAGAGAUAGAGUCUUCCCCUUCGGGGGACAAAGUGACAGGUGGUGCAUGGUUGUCGUCAGCUCGUGUCGUGAGAUGUUGGGUUAAGUCCCGCAACGAGCGCAACCCUUAAGCUUAGUUGCCAUCAUUAAGUUGGGCACUCUAGGUUGACUGCCGGUGACAAACCGGAGGAAGGUGGGGAUGACGUCAAAUCAUCAUGCCCCUUAUGAUUUGGGCUACACACGUGCUACAAUGGAUAAUACAAAGGGCAGCGAAUCCGCGAGGCCAAGCAAAUCCCAUAAAAUUAUUCUCAGUUCGGAUUGUAGUCUGCAACUCGACUACAUGAAGCUGGAAUCGCUAGUAAUCGUAGAUCAGCAUGCUACGGUGAAUACGUUCCCGGGUCU